UGCCUCCCAAGUGCUGGGAUUAAAGGCAUGUGCCAACACUGCAGAUCAUUGUGGCUCAGAACAAUGGGAGAAAGGUUGGGGGACUUCAGCACCUGCCCUUUACAGGGGAUCAGCUCUGCUAAGAUCACAGUUAGUGACGACAAGGCCCUGGCCCAUCAGAAUAGUGAGUGACUUCUCAGGAGCUCUAGCUAAGGCAAGGGGCUUCCAGAAGAGCCUUUACCUUCACCAUAGAAACAGAGGUACCGUGAUGGGAGCAUGCACCUGCCCAGGCCUAACCUAACCCUGACUCCAUAACUCUCAUCACAAAGACUCAAGCAAAGCUUUUAUCUCCCUGAAACCUCAGGUUUCUCACCUGUCAAAUGGGGUUCCAUAAUUAUAUAUAUUCAUGAAAUUAUGAGGCCACGUUCAGAUGAGUCAUUUAAAAGAUUAUGCAUGCCAACCUUUUGCUGAGGAUUACUACAAUUAAAAAAUAUAUAUUUUACAUACAUAUCCCAGACACCUUUGAGAGCCUUAGAAUUUUUGUUUAGAAUUCUAGGUGGACUCAGGAUGGUGCUGAGCAAUGGUGACAAGUGAAAGGUGUGUUAGAUGGCGACAGCCAUUGAGACUUAGUGAGCACUAUCGUCCUGAACAUGUAGUAUGUCUCAGAGCCUGAGCUAAGUGGCUUACGUGCAUUUCACUUGAAUGUUAAUCCCAUAAGACCGAAUAGAAGUGUGUUGCUUUUCUUGUUUAAACAGGAGGAAUCAGACUCGUCCAAGGUUAUGCUGAGAUAUUCCUACUGUUGUUUCAAGGUCUAAGUUGUACGUGAGGGCUGUUGAGUGGCUUGCUCCCAGUGAGAAGAGAUUCUGUAUUUAUUCUUAUGGCUCUUUUGGGUUUGGCCCUAGAGCCACCAUCUUAAGCUGUCUUCCUUGUGCCCCAGGUCUGAUGUGAAGAUAGUUUUCAUGAGUUUUAGUUAGGAAAGUCAACAAAAAUAACUGCUCCUGACCUUGUCACCCGAAACUAUUUCCUUCCAAACAGUAAAAACAAACAAACAAACAGACCAAAUUUGUCAUUGUUGUUUCGAUUUGCUCUUUUUGUUUGUUUGCUUUUGUGUUUUGAGACAGGGUCUGGCUUGUAUAGCUCAUGCCAGCCUGCAACUCUAUGGUCUAGGCUGUCUUUCUGCCUCAGCUUCCAGACUGCUGAGAUGACAGGCCAGUGCUGCCACACCUGCCAGGGGCUGGGUUUGGGAUCCAUAAAUAGGUUGCAAGCAAGAAAGUCCAGACUUGGACUUGCUCUGAGCUGGGCGUUGUGUCUCUCACCUAUAAUCCCAACACUUGAUAGGCUUAGGCAGCAGACAACUGCCACGUGUUAGAGGGCACACUAGGCUACUUAGCAAAACUUAAAAAAAGAUUAAAAAUGGAGAUCCAAGUUCAGGAGUUGCUGAAUGCAGAUGGACAUUCAGUGCCCCCUCUCUCUAUGGCUUUGCCACCCUCUUGCUGGCUCUGGCUUCAUUCAUGAGCAGGCUGUCUCUGAAUGGUACUAAAAUGGCUGCCAAGCAACACCAGACUCACUUCCUGCCAAUUCAGCAAAGCCCCACAGAAAGACUACUUCCCAUUCCUAAUGAUUCCAGCAAACAACCCAGGCUGAAAGCCACGGCUAAGCUUAAGUGGUGUGUCCCUUAUGAAAACAGACUUAUUUAUCCAAGACUCUCAGGUCUGAAGGUGUGGGCUCAGAGAAAGGACUGGCUGCAAAGGGAAGCAAGGUGCACUGUUCCUUACCAGUAGAGGAAGAUAGAGGCCAGACAAGGCGAAUCAAACACCGAUGUCCACUUAGGCUUGCAAAUAGGCUGUGCCAAAGAGCAGCAUUUAUUUUCUCUGCUCUCCUGAGCUUAGCAGAAAAGAUAGGCUCUGAGCGAAUGGACAGAAAGGACCUGGCAGAGUACAGAUAAUUUCAACAUAUUUUACAAGUGCUCAUGCACUCACAGGCCCCCCUGAGGAGAUGAUUGGGGAACCAAGACCAAACAAAUGCUUCACAUGGGACAAGUUUUAUAAGCAGCCGUGUGAUCUUCAGGGUUUUCACAUCAUCUAUUCCAGUGCUCUGAGGGAUGAAAUGAAUCACAUUUACGUGAGCAUUUAUUAUCCCAGGUGUUACUUAAUAGAGAAGGUCUCUGUAAAGAUGAGCCAUUUAUGUAGUGGUUCCUAUCGAGAUUCCAAAGUCCUUUCAAUGUGCACCGUACUCAACAGAAACACCACAGUAAAUACAGG
rnacentral:lncRNA from 1 species